AAUAUUUAAAAAUGGUUAAAAUAUUAAAAAUUUGAUAAAUUAGUUACGUUCUAAUAAAUUUUACUUUUUAUAUUGUCGAUGAUUUACAUUUGCUGCUUUGUUUUUUCUCUAUUUUGUGGUUGGUUUUCAUUCGUGCACAUAGAGGUGAAGGAGUGUUGCUUCUUAAUAGUUAGACCCAAGAUGUGGGGGGAUAAGUACUUCUUAGCAAUGUGUACAUAGGAGGAGGUAAGACUUAGGAAAAAAUAGUGAAAAUGUUGGAGAGAGAGAGAGAGAUCCUCCUUUGAGUAGCAUCAUUAAUUUAAACAAGGUUGUGCAUGAGCUUGUUACCGGUAAGAAUC
rnacentral:lncRNA from 1 species